GUGAGGAAUAUUGGUCAAUGGGCGGGAGCCUGAACCAGCCAAGUCGCGUGAAGGAAGAAGGAUCUAUGGUUCGUAAACUUCUUUUGCAGGGGAAUAAAGUGCGGGACGUGUCCUGUUUUGUAUGUACCCUGAGAAUAAGGAUCGGCUAACUCCGUGCCAGCAGCCGCGGUAAUACGGAGGAUCCGAGCGUUAUCCGGAUUUAUUGGGUUUAAAGGGUGCGUAGGUGGUUUGAUAAGUCAGCGGUGAAAGUUUGCAGCUUAACUGUAAAAAUGCCGUUGAAACUGUCGGACUUGAGUGUAAAUGAGGUAGGCGGAAUGCGUGGUGUAGCGGUGAAAUGCAUAGAUAUCACGCAGAACUCCGAUUCGAAGGCAGCUUACUAAGCUACAACUGACACUGAAGCACGAAAGCGUGGGGAUCAAACAGGAUUAGAAACCCUGGUAGUCC
rnacentral:rRNA from 1 species